rnacentral:lncRNA from 11 species
UGCCACUUUCCCGCUCGGCUCCUUGGGGCUGUUUUCCAGCUGGGAUCCCAAAAGAGCUUCGGUGGCGUCAGCGGCUGGGUGUAAGGCUAGAGCCCACUGGACGGCCCCUGCCUAUUAUUAUUAUUAUUAUUAUUGUUAUGGUUAUGGUUAUUUAUAUUCCUAGCUUGGAUACCCGGUAAUGCCCGGGUUAUUUGAAAAAGGCAUUGCUUGGUUUUGCAUGUUAGGUAUUUAUUGAUCAUGUCAGAAGCCAACGGAAGAGCUGACAGCUGGCACAACAAAACAUUGCAUGGAAAGUUCCUUGACAAAAUUGAAGGAAAAGCUGAUAAGGAGAAGACCUGGCUAUGGCUCAUGAAUGGGACCCUGAAGAAGGAGACAGAAGGCCUGAUCCUUGCAGCCCAGGAGCAAGCCAUCAGAACAAAUGCAAUUAAGGCCAAGAUCGAAAAAUCAGCUGAUGACCCAAAAUGCAGACUGUGCAAGGAAACCGACAAAACCAUUGAUCAUAUCCUCAGCUGCUGUAAGAAAAUUGCACAGACAGACUACAAACAGAGGCACAACUAUGUGGCCCAAAUAAUGCAUUGGAACUUAUGCCUCAAGUACCACCUCCCAGCAGUAAAGAACUGGUGGGAUCACAAACCUGCAAAAGUAUUGGAGAAUGAGCACGCAAAGAUACUGUGGGACUUCCGAAUCCAGACUGACAAAGUUCUGGAACACAACACACCAGACAUCACAGUUGUGGAAAGGAAAAAGGUUUGGAUCAUUGAUGUUGCCAUCCCAGGUGACAGUCACAUUGACGAAAAACAACAGGAAAAACUCAGCCGCUAUCAGGACCUCAAGAUUGAACUUCAAAGACUCUGGCAGAAACCAGUGCAGGUGGUCCUGGUGGUGAUCGGCACAUUGGGUGCUGUGCCAAAAGAUCUCAGCCAGCAUUUGGAAACAAUAGACAUUGACAAAAUCACGAUCUGCCAACUGCAAAAGGCCACCCUACUGGGAUCUGCGUGCAUCAUCCAAAAAUACAUCACACAGUCCUAGACACUUGGGAAGUGUUCGACUUGUGAUUUUGUGAAAUGAAAUCCAGCAUAUCUAUCUUGUUUGCUGUGUCAUAAUAAAAUAAUAAUAAUAAUAAUAAUAAUAAUAAUAAUAAUAAUAAUAAUAGGCCAAGUUUGGUCCAGACCAUUGUUGGCUGCAAUCACAGUGCUCUCUGGAUUACCUAGUGAUUCUGGCCAUGAAAGCCUUCAACAACAAAUUGCAGACCAUUUGAAAGGAAAAGAAAGCACAUUAGGUGCCUUGAAUUCUGUCUAUGGCAGUAUAUUGCCCAGUUGUUUUAUAUAUGUAAAAAGUAAAAGUUUUCCCCUGGCCUAAACUACAUUUCUCAGAAUUCCACUUAUCAUCAGAAAACCCCAGUGGGGGAGAGAUUUUCCCUCCUGGCAAUAGCCAGAGUUCCAAUAAAUUGCUGAAUCUGCAAAGAGGAGGAUUGACCGAUACAGUUAGGCUCAUAUCCUGCUUCUGUUAUCGUGUUGGCCACAGUGUGGACAGAAUGUUAUAUUGUAUUGGUAAAGGUAAAGGUUUUCCCCUGACAUUAAGUUUAGUCGUGUCCGACUUUGGGGGUUGGUAGUCAUCUCCAUUUCUAAGCUGAAGAGCUGGCAUUGUCUGUAGACACCUCCAAGAUCAUGUGGCCGGCAUGACUUUAUGGAGCACCAUUACCUCCCUGCCGGAGUGGUACUUAUUGAUCUACUCACAUUUGCAUGUUUUCAGACUGCUAGGUUGGCAGAAGCUGGGGCUCACCCCACUCCUCCGAUUCGAAUUGCUGACCUUUUGGUCAGCAAAUUCAGCAGCUCAACGGUUUAACCUGCUGCGCCAUCAGGGGCUCCAUAAAAAGGUAUUAUUAAAAAUAAAAUAAAUCACCACACCUCCAUCAAUACCCAUUUUGCCAGUAGUACACUUUGUAGAACAUUUUAUCCUAAUGUUCAUUUUCUGCUCACAAAUGAGCCUGCAACUACGAAUGUUUUGCUUUUAAUUGUGUGUGAUAGUUGUUCUAGAUUAUUUUGGUUUUGGUUUCUGUUGUGAUGAUAAUGUCUGAAUGUUGUAUUUUUCUUGUUUCAAUUUGGCUGAUUUGUUUUCAUACAACAUUGAAAAAUUGGAAAUAUAUAUAAUGAAUUAAGUUUCCACUGUUAAAACAACACAACCUCAACCAUAAACUAUUUCCUCAGUGGAAAGAAGAACUGAAAGUUCCAUGGAAUUAACCAAGAUUUUAAUUCAAAGUACUGUACUAGGUAACACAUAUUUUCAAACAGGCAGAAAAUUAUUAAUGUAACAGAGAAUUUUGUCAUUUGAUUUCCUUCAGAGCAUGAAAUUAACAUUGCUUACAUUUUGAUUUUAUAGUUGUGUAUAAAAAGAUUAAUGAUUACUACACAAAGUGUUUUGCAACCAUAUGGUUCAUUUAGAAGGCAAGAAGCAAGAAAAUAUGAGGAAAAUGAAUUUGCAUUAACAUACAGAAAACUACUGAAGACGUACAGAAAACUGCUUUGAGCCUGUUGAAGAAAUAGUAGAAGGAUACUGCAGGAAAAAAUUACCAUGACUUUCAUCUUGUAUACGAAAAAUACAUUUUGCCCCAUUUAAAAUGUGCAUUGUGUGCAUUUUGCCCCAUUUAAAAGUAUACAAUCAAAAUUUUGGGUCUGUUAAAACACAGCUUUGUUUCAUCAAUCUUCAAAAAGCUAGUUUUCUGGAAAUCAUAUUUAAAGA